AAACAGACGGAGGAAAGAGUACUUCCAAUUUUGCACAUCCCAUUAUUUCUAAUAUUUCAAGAUUUGAGAAGGUAAAAGAAUUAUUUGAAGCUUCUAUUUCACAUCCAAUAAUCUGCUUCAAUUCCAUACAUUCUUUUAUGAUUAGGCUUUUCAACUUUUGUAAGUUUCUUAAAACAGACAAAGGAAAGAUUACUUCCAAUUUUUCACAUCCCAUUAUUUCUAAUUUUUCAAGAUUUGAGAAGGUAAAAUAAUUAUUUGAAGCUUCUAUUUCACAUCCAAUAAUCUGCUUCAAUUCCAUGCAUUCUUUUAUGAAUAGGCUUUUCAACUUUUGUAAGCUUCUUAAAACAAACGGAGGAAAAAUUACUUCCAAUUUUGCACAUCCCAUU
rnacentral:lncRNA from 1 species